rnacentral:rRNA from 1 species
GACGAACCGUGCGAACGUUAUUCGGAAUCACUGGGCUUAAAGGGCGCGUAGGCGGGCCAGCAAGUCAGGGGUGAAAGCCCACGGCUCAACCGUGGAAGGGCCUUUGAUACUGCUGGUCUGGAGGGAGGUAGGGGCGUGCGGAACUUCCGGUGGAGCGGUGAAAUGCGUAGAUAUCGGAAGGAACACCGGUGGCGAAAGCGGCGCGCUGGACCUCUUCUGACGCUGAGGCGCGAAAGCCAGGGUAGCAAACGGG